rfam:Apaloderma vittatum contig72496, whole genome shotgun sequence.
GGCCAGUUAGCUCAGUCAGUAGAGCGUAGCGCUAACAGCGCUAAGGUCGCGGGUUCGAUUACCAUUUGGUCC